UCGAAACGAACUUUCUGGACAACCAAAUAUGAACUAUCCUGAUUUCUUCCAGAUUUUUAUUUGCGUUCUUCCUGAUUUUUGAAAAUUAUGGUUGGCAACCCUGGGUAUGAGUAGAAACCGGGGCUCUGGCAACCCUAUCCCAACCAAUGCAAAUUGAGCGUAGGCAGCAUAAAACAGGGCUCACGCUCAGGGGGCUCACGUAUUGUUUACUGUUUGGAGUCAUAUAUGUUAAUAUUUGAUUACGUUGGAUAGUUUCCUUUGGCAAGCGAUGUUUGGAUACCCAUCUGGAAGCUUUCUUGUCGAUUUGCAAUCAAAAUCACUGCUACAGGACCGCGCGGAGCACUUCAUUUUUAAUUUCAGGUUAUGAUUUCUAUGCUCAUGAGUUUCUAUGCUGGCUACAAAAAGGCGGCCAUCUUACCAAUCCCUUGGUAGAAACUGCCGUCUUGAAUAACCUACCCAAAGGGCUGUGAUCAAAAACAUAAUUACAGACUGGCUGUCACAGUAUCAGGACCAUAAACACUAUCCACAUAUUCAGCCGCCUGACCCGCGUUUUCGCCUCUAUCGAAGUGAAACUGUAAAAUUGCCUGGCUCAAACAGCUUUGAGUCAGGUGAUUUCAAAACAAUCGGGGAACUAUGUUCGGGUAUAAAGUAUUAUCUUUUUAACGCCUCCUUGCGAACCUGAUUGCACUUCCAUAACGCGAGAUACGGAUGACCAUCGCAAUGCAAUGAAAAACUGAAAAAAAAAUUUCACGUCAUCUUACAUACGAACCAGCAUAUAUCGAUAACGAUCGUCAUUAUUGGAUUAAUGUUUUGCACGGCCCAAACCAUUCGAAAUGCGUCAAAUCGAAAUUGAUCCUCCGGUGGAAGUAAAUUAAUCCUAAUUCCUUCAAACUGCCUUCAAUAUAAACUUACGAUCGGUGCAGCUGCAGCCGGCGCCGGUUCUUUCUUCCGCCCCGGAAGAAUCGUGGUUUAUUGCGUUCCUAAUGUGUUACCAAUUGGAGAUUAUUUCCUACUUCCCCUUGCAGCAUAUCGCACAACAUGGACAUGAUCGACGGCUUCAUCCAAUCGUUCCAACCAGCAGCCGUGACCGUUUGGCGUUCGUUUUGGAAUGCCUCCCGGAAAAGGAUACAUUUAUUAAGACAUUAUAUAUUGGGUAACCAUUCAACCUUGCGUUUUCAGUUUGUGUUCUUUUCUUUUCCUCCAUUCAUUCGGCACGGAAGAUCGGGCAGGAAAAAACUGUGAAAACUAAUCUCUUCUAAUAAAUUCGGGAAACACAUUAUGAGUGCACACACAUCGGCUCUCAACGCAACGGUUCCACACAGGGCGCUGCUGCCCCGGGAAUGUUGAAGCCUUUCGGGCGUGUCGAGAAGGGUUUCUAAUGAGCAAAAAAAAAAAAAUGUGGCAAAAGAAAACGAUAUCCCGUAGGAAGAAAAAAGGAGGAAUUAUGAAUGGUUUCACCCUUGGCUCCCGAUACAAUGCCACCUUUUGGUUCCGACCGUGGGCUUCGAGGCGGUCCAGGAAAGAAAUUGAUAUCUUAACCAAAAAAGGGGUUAAACGAACAGUCGAUUUUAUGGUCAGCACCGAUUGAGAUGUGAUACAAACACGGGAACGCGGGGACUGCAUAGCCGGACAGCCGAGGGAUUUAAUCCGACGGAUUCUCGAGGACGAACGGUGGCUUCCAUUUCAAGGGUAUUCGUAUCGACACAAUGAAAGGGACUUUACGAUUUGAGCCGAAUCGUUGGAAGUUGCGAUAAAAAACGGUCAAACAGAGAACACUUAUCGGUCGAGUGAAUCGUGAAACAACUCUCGGGUGAAAAAACCAACAAUCUUUAAAAAACAUAAUCCCGAGCGACAGAAAGAAGCUAAUCUUCUGGAACCCAAAAUGGACUACGCUAAAUUUCCCAUCAACUGAUACGGAUCUCUUUCCUCACGGCUGGUGGCGACGAAAACAAGAAAAUUGCCGCCACCUUCCGAUACCCGGGAAUAGAUUUGGAUUUGUAGACUUUAAUUUCAUCCUAUGGGCGGUACGGGAUUAGUUGUUGUUUGUAACAUUUGUUUUCAAUGCUCUUGAAAAAUAAAGAAUAUUAAA